rnacentral:rRNA from 1 species
UACGGGGGGAGCAAGCGUUGUUCGGAUUUACUGGGCGUAAAGGGCGCGUAGGCGGCGUGACAAGUCACUUGUGAAAUCUCCGGGCUUAACUCGGAACGGUCAAGUGAUACUGUCGUGCUAGAGUACAGAAGGGGCAACUGGAAUUCUCGGUGUAGCGGUGAAAUGCGUAGAUAUCGAGAGGAACACCAGUGGCGAAGGCGAGUCCCUGGACAACACCUGACACUGAGGCACGAAAGCUAGGGGAGCAAACAGG